AUUGAACGCUGGCGGCAGGCUUAACACAUGCAAGUCGUGCGGUAACAGAGAGAAGCUUGCUUCUCUGCUGACGAGCGGCGGACGGGUGAGUAAUGCCUAGGAAUCUGCCUAGUAGUGGGGGAUAACUUGCCGAAAGGUAAGCUAAUACCGCAUACGUCCUACGGGAGAAAGGAGGGGACCUUCGGGCCUUUCGCUAUUAGAUGAGCCUAGGUCGGAUUAGUUAGUUGGUGAGGUAAUGGCUCACCAAGACCGCGAUCCGUAACUGGUCUGAGGGGAGGAUCAGUCAAACUGGAACUGAGACACGGUCCAGACUCCUACGGGAGGCAGCAGUGGGGAAUAUUGGACAAUGGGUGGAACCCUGAUUCAGCCAUGCCGCGUGUGUGAAGAAGGUCUUAGGAUUGUAAAGCACUUUAAGUUGGGAGGAAGAGCAGUUAACUAAUAUUUGACUGUUUUGACGUUACCGACAGAAUAAGCACCGGCUAACUUCGUGCCAGCCGCCGCCGUAA
rnacentral:rRNA from 1 species